AAUGGGGGACUUCAAUUAUCCUGACAUCAAUCCUGAUAUCAAAACUAAUUCUGCACCAAGUGAGAAAUCAAAUAAGUUCCUAACCAACCUAGCUGACAUUAAAUAUGGAGAAUAUUUUCAUAUUUGUACUAAAAUGUAAGACAUUCUGGAACCACACUGUUCACACAAUGAUAUGUUUGUUGUAAUAAAAAAAUUAUUGCAAAAAAAAAUUCUUGUUUGGACCAAGUUUGAUAAAAUUAUCCCACACAGUGCUUCUUGUGGUUGUCCUCUACAAUGCAAUUAUUUAUUUGUGUUGAUUUAAGAAAGCAAUGAAAUAGGGGGUCACAGUGAGACAUAAAUAGGGAGUUUUAUUAACAAAAGUCUCAAGGUGGGAUUGAUACUCAUAUUAUAAGGCCUCAUGCCCAUUUGUUAUGUCCCACUCAGAAUCUCCCAGGCUUAGAAACAAUUAAAAAUCAAAGUCUAGAUUUUCACUUCCUUAGAUUCAAAAUUCAGCUUGCCAUGAAUGACAUCUUUUUAUUUCUACACUCAUUUAAAAAAAUUCUAACUCAUCUUCACAGAUUGCUAUGAUCAAAGUGGUGGCACCCCGAGCAGUCCUUAAGGUGAUAGAUUGUACUAUUCAAAUUUGUGGUGCUGCUGGAUUCACAGAAGAUUUCCCAUUGGCUCAAAUGUUUGCCUAUAUUCGGACUUUGCGUGUGGCAGAUGGGCCUGAUGAAGUUCAUCUCUCAGCAAUUGCAAAAUUAGAAUUGCUUGACCAAGCCAGGCAACUGAAUGCACACCUAUAACAACUAUUUUAUUUUGUGAUGGCAGUGAAAAAUCCAAACUUUCCUCCACACAGCAUUUUUCUUAAAAUUAAGUAUAACACCUAAAGAGGAACAUUCCAAAAAAUAAAGCAAAACCUUGAUUAAAUUUUA